rnacentral:rRNA from 1 species
UGAGGAAUAUUGGUCAAUGGGCGGAAGCCUGAACCAGCCAAGUCGCGUGAGGGAAGAAGGCCCUGCGGGUCGCAGACCUCUUUGGACGGGGAGCAAGGCCGCCGACGUGUCGGCGGAAGGAGAGUACCCGUAGAACAAGCAUCGGCUAACUCCGUCGCC